AAUGGUAUACUGGUGGUGGUGGAGAAUGAUAGACCGGAGGUGGUGGGAGUGGUAUACUGGUGGUGGUGGAGAGUAGACGGGAGGUGGAUAGUAUACUUUCUUUGGUGGUGGUGGAGAGUAGACGGGAGGAGGGUAGUAUACCUUCUUCGGUGGUGGUGGAGAGUAGACGGGUGGUGGGUAGUAUACCUUCUUCGGUGGUGGUGGAGAGUAGACGGGUGGUGGGUAGUAUACCUUCUUCGGUGGUGGUGGAGAGUAGACGGGUGGUGGGUAGUAUACCUUCUUCGGUGGUGGUGGUGAGUAGACGGGGGGUGGGUAGUAUACCUUCUUCGGUGGUGGUGGUGAGUAGACGGGAGGUGGGUAGUACACCUUCUUCGGUGGUGGUGGUGAGUAGACGGGAGGUGGGUAGUACACCUUCUUCGGUGGUGGUGGUGAGUAGACGGGAGGUGGGUAGUAUACCUUCUUUGGCGGUGGUGGUGAGUAGACUGGUGGUGGGUAGUAUACUUUCUUUGGUGGUGGAGGAGACUUAUAGACGGGUGGUGGAUAGUAUACCUUCUUGGGAGGUGGGGGAGACUUGUAGACUGGAGGUGGGUAGUAUACCUUCUUUGGUGGUGGAGGAGACUUAUAGACGGGAGGAGGGUAGUAUACCUUCUUGGGAGGUGGGGGAGACUUGUAGACGGGAGGUGGGUAGUACACCUUCUUGGGAGGUGGGGGAGACUUGUAGACGGGAGGUGGGUAGUACACCUUCUUGGGAGGCGGGGGAGACUUGUAGACGGGAGGUGGGUAAUACACCUUCUUAGGUGGCGGAGGAGACUUGUAGACGGGAGGUGGGUAAUAAACCUUCUUGGGUGGCGGAGGAGACUUGUAGACAGGAGGUGGGUAAUACACCUUCUUUGGUGGUGGUGGAGAGUAAACUGGUGGUGGAUAGUAAACCUUCUUGG
rnacentral:lncRNA from 1 species